rnacentral:misc_RNA from 1 species
CGAAAUGCGAUAAGUAGUGUGAAUUGCAGAAUUCAGUGAAUCAUCGAAUCUUUGAACGCACAUUGCGCCCCUUGGUAUUCCAUGGGGCAUGCCUGUUCGAGCGUCAUUUGUACCCUCAAGCUUUGCUUGGUGUUGGGCGUCUUGUCGGAAUAUCCGACUCGCCUUAAAUACAUUGGCAGCCGGCACUUUGGCCUAGGAGCGCAGCACAUUUUGCGAUCGUAAGCCGUUGUGACAGCAUCCAUAAGAUUUAUUUUACCACGUUUGACCUCGGAUCAGGUAGGGAUACCCGCUGAACUUAAGC